rnacentral:rRNA from 1 species
AUUGAACGCUGGCGGCAGGCCUAACACAUGCAAGUCGAGCGAGCGGCGGACGGGUGAGUAAUGUAUGGGGACUGCCCGAUAGAGGGGGAUAACUACUGGAAACGGUGGCUAAUACCGCAUACUAUCGGAUAACCCAUAUGGGAUUAGCUAGUUGGUGGGGUAAAGGCUCACCUAGGCGACGAUCUCUAGCUGGUCUGAGAGGAUGAUCAGCAACACUGGGACUAGGACACGGCCCGAACUCCUACGGAGGCAGCAGUGGGGAAUAUUGCACAAUGGGGGCAAGCCGGAUGCAGCCAUGCCGCGUGUAGGAAGAGGGCCUUAGGGUUGUAAAGUACGUUCAGCGGGGAGGCGUUACCCGCAGAAGAAGCACCGGCUAACUCCGUGCCAGCAGCCGCGGUAAUUC